GUGUGUGUGUGUGUGUGUGUGUUUAUAUGUAUGUUUGUGUUUGUGUGUGUGUGUGUGUGUGUGUGUGUGUACACACGCGCACACACACACACAUAUAUGCAUAUAUACACACAUACACACCC